rnacentral:lncRNA from 1 species
GGGAAGGGGACGCCACGCUCCUUCUGCGCAUGUGCAGCCGUAGCCUCCUCGUUCGUCUUCUCAGGACCCCAGAGAACCGUUGGGGAACUUUGGGGUGUGCUCGGAAAAUGCAGGAUGCGCUGCUGUCACACAUGUCCACCACCACAUGUGACAUUAGUGACGUUAUCCUGAUGUCACAGGAUCCAAGAAUGAUGAUCUGUGAAGAGUUUUCCAAGGUCACCUACUUCUAACUCUUUUGAAAGAUUUAAAGACAUUGGGCCUGAAAAUUUCUGUGACUUGUCCAGGGAAACGCAGUUUGUGACAGUUCACUCUCUCACAGCUGAACCACAGUCCUCUGUACUCGCCCAGGAGCCACAGAGAGUGAACAUCCCUCAGAGAGUCAGGCUAAGGGUUUGUCAAUUUUGCAUAUCUUCUCAAAGAACCAGUAAAAGUCUUGUUUAAUUAUCUGUCUCCCUUUUCAAGACCAGCUUCAAGUAUAAGAAGAAAUGGAAACCUAUUUUUCUGGUAACUUAUUUUCUAGAGACUCUCUUAUCAUGACUAUCUUCUACUUAGAGUGAUGCAAACUUGACAUUCCAUACCCAGUGUUAUUUCCCGUUAGUUUAGGUUUUAAUCUGCCUAUAUAGAAAUUUAACCAAGAACUGUUGUUGACAUCCUAAAGAGGUUAAAAAGACUAAAUCAGGAGCAGAUUCUCGUGGGGGAUAGGAGAGAAGAUAGUGAACAACAACCACCACAACGACUGGAGCAAUGGUAAGAGAGUUUCUCUUAUAAAUGUGGCUCUUCUAUGGAUGUUGGGCUUACUGUGCUAUAUCCUGAUAAAUAUUUAUCGUUUCCUGCAAAGUCUACAAAGGUUAUGGCAAGUUAUAAAGGAGGAGCCAUAUCUUGUCUUCAUCAGUGGACUAAAAUGGUUCUUAGGAACUGCAGAACGCUCAGUGAGGAGGCCGGAGAGAGGGCUCAGCAAGUCUCUUUCCCAGUCUAGGUCAGUGGCUUACAGAGUGGAGAAUGAGAAGAAAAUUUUAUACCUUCUAAUUAUAAGCAUUUUUUAUUUUAGAAAAAUGCCUGUAUUAGUCAGGGUUAUUCAGAGAAACAGAACCAAUAGGAAAUACAUAGAAAUUUAUAUACAUGUAUAAAAUAAGGAAUUGGCUCACGUGAUUAUGGAAGCUGAGAAGUCCCAACAUGUGCAGUAGGCAAGCUGGAGACCCAGGAUCGCUGACGGUGUAGUUCCAGCUCGAGUCUGAGUCCGAAAGCAGAAGAUUGAUGUCCCAGCUCAAAGAUAGGCAGGCAGAGAAAAAGAAUUCUGCCCCACAUAGCAUUUUGUUCUGUUCAGGACUUCAACAAAGUGGAUGAUGCUCACCCACAUUGGCAAGCAAUCUUCUUUACUAAGUCUACCGAAGCAAAUGUUAAUCUCAUCCAGAAACACCCUCAGACAGAUUAGAACAAUAUUUAAGCAGAUAUCUGGGCACCCCAUGGCCCAGUCAAGUUGACACAUAAAAUGAACUAUCACAGUGCCUUUGACAUUACUAAAGUAUUACAUUAUUGGAAGUCACAGAUACCAGUUUCCCUGUCUUUUCUGGUUUUUAUUUUCCUAAUAUUCUGUGGUUUGAAGAUGUGGAAUAAACAGUCUUUUUUCCACCAUUCUGCACUUCUAUGCAGGGAGGAUGAAGGUUUUGUCUCUCUAACUCCUGUUUCAUAGAAAGCGUGUGAUUUUAAGGUGAAAUUGUCAUUGAAAAUACAGUUGGAAAACCUGUCCAAUAACUGAGUCACCCCUGCCUUACGUGUAUUUAACACAACUAUUCUAUUAGGGAACAAAGUUGUGGUUAGUAACUUCAUCCUAAAUUGGCAGAGAAGAGAAUUGUUAUCUGGCAGAUGUUGGGUGGCAUGUGCAGUACAAAUUGAAAGUGUCCACAUAAUUCUUAGAGAGAGGCUUCCUCCCAUGAAUGGUGGAUUAUGAUUGAUCUUAGGAACCACCAUCUGCUCUAACAGUCUCUAUACUGAGUCUGAGUGAUGGAUAACACUGUGCAGAUGGGGUUAUUUUGGCAGGUGAAACUCAUGCCUGG